rnacentral:rRNA from 1 species
UACGAAGGGUGCAAGCGUUACUCGGAAUUACUGGGCGUAAAGCGUGCGUAGGUGGUGAGUUAAGUCUGUCGUGAAAGCCCCGGGCUCAACCUGGGAAUGGCGAUGGAUACUGGCUCGCUAGAGUGCGGUAGAGGGUGGUGGAAUUCCCGGUGUAGCAGUGAAAUGCGUAGAGAUCGGGAGGAACAUCAGUUGCGAAGGCGGCCACCUGGACCAGCACUGACACUGGAGGCAACGAAAGCGUGGGGAGCAAACAGG